rnacentral:lncRNA from 1 species
UUUUUUUUUUUUUUUUUUUUAUUCAUGAGAGACACAACGAGAAAGAGAGAGGCAGAGGCAGAGACACAGGCAGAGGGAGAAGCAGGCUCUAUGCAGGGAGCCCGAUGUGGGACUCGAUCCCGGGUCUCCAGGAUCACACCCCGGGCUGCAGGCGGCGCUAAACCACUGCGCCACCAGGGCUGCCCUGUUUAUGUGUGUGUAUAAUCUUAACAUCAUUUAUAUAACCUAAAAAAUUAAUAAUUUCUUGAUUCCGUAAGUUGUCUAAAGAUAUCAAAAUUCAUUACAAUCUUUUUUGAAUCAAGAGCCAAAUAAGACCAUAUUACAUAUGGCUGAUAAGCAUUAUAAAUCUCCUCCAGUCUCUUGUAGUGUUUUCAAACUAGAGUGCAUCAGAAUCCCCUACAAGGCUUAUUAAAACAGACUGCUGGGAUCCCCCCCAGAGUUUCUAAGUCUGGGGUGGCACUUGAGAAUUUGCACUUCUAACAAGUGCAAGGUGAUGCUGAUGCUGUAGGGUUUGGAGUCCACUCAGAUUUUAGUUCCUCACUGUUUAUUUCACUUCUCCCCUUGCAAUUUAUUUAUUGAAGAAACUGAGCUGUUUAUCCUGUAGAGUUUCCCUUAGUUCGGGUCUUGCUGAUUGCAUACCUGUUUUACUUAACUGUUUAUUGUCUCUUUUUGUGAUGUUAGCAGCUUUUUCCUUCUUUAUUUUAUUUUAUUUAAAUUCAACUUGCCAGAUGUUAGCAGCUUUUUGAUCCAUUAAUUAGUUGAGAUUAAAAAAUGAUGUUCUAAUUUCUUGUAUCUCUUCAGUUUAUUAAAAUCCUUUAUAGAUAGACCCUUCCCCUCCAUCUACUUUUGGUUACAGAAUGGUAAAUUUUUUGGGGGGAAAGCCAGAAUAAAAGUUGGAUUGUCUUGUCUUCAGAAUAAUCAGUCAUUCACUAGUGUGAAUGACUGUGGUGAACAAUUUUUGUGUGAGUGUGUGUGAUUAGCAGUUGAUUCACUUCAAGUCACUGAAAUUAUUUUUCUUGUGGAUACUGAAAUUCUACCAUUUUUAGCCAAUGAGAGGCUUUUGAAGUUGGCUUCUGGGUCCAUUUGGCAUGACUCUAGUUGUCAUUGGGAGCAUCCUUGCUGAGUGAUAUGACCAGAUGUUUCAGAACCAUCUUAAAUUUCCUGCCUGACUUGAAAGCAACACGUUUUCCAAGGAGGCCUGGUUCUUUUUUACUGGAAAAUGGUAUUUGGACACUGUAAUCAGAGCACUGAGGAUGCUCCCUGAGACUGGAUUGCUACGUUUCUAGGCCUUUUUUGUGGACUAAGAUAGGCAGUACGUUUUUUGUUGUCAUUUUAAGAUAA